rnacentral:rRNA from 1 species
GACGAACGCUGGCGGCGUGCUUAACACAUGCAAGUCGAACGAAGAGCGACGGAAGCUUGCUUCUAUCAAUCUUCGUGUCGAACGGGUGAGUAACGCGUAAUCAACCUUCCCUUCAGAGGGGGACAACAGUUGGAAACGACUGCUAAUACCGCAUACGAUCUACCCUCGGCAUCGAGGAUAGAUGAAAGGUUGCCUCUACAUGUAAGCCAUCACUGAAGUAGGGGAUUGCGUCUGAUUAGCUAGUUGGAGGGGUAACGGCCCACCAAGGCGAUGAUCAGUAGGCGGUCUGAGGGGAUGAACGGCCAAAAUGGGACUGGGAAACGGCCCAGACUCCUAAGGGAGGGAGCAGGGGGGAAUCUUCCGCAAUGGAGGAAAGGCUGAAGGAGGAACGCCGCGGGAGGGAUGAAGGCCUUCGGGUUGGAAAGGUCUGUUAAUCGGGAAGAAAGGGCUGCUUGCGAAUAGUGAGAAGGAUUGACGGUACCGGAAGAGAAAGCAACGGCUAACUACGUG